GAUGAACGCUGGCGGCGUGCCUAAUACAUGCAAGUCGAGCGAACAGAUGAGGAGCUUGCUCCUCUGACGUUAGCGGCGGACGGGUGAGUAACACGUGGAUAACCUACCUAUAAGACUGGGAUAACUUCGGGAAACCGGAUCUAAUACCGGAUAAUAUAUUGAACCGCAUGGUUCAAUAGUGAAAGACGGUUUUGCUGUCACUUAUAGAUGUAUCCGCGCCGCAUUAGCUAGUUGGUAAGGUAACGGCUUACCAAGGCAACGCUGCGUAGCCGACCUGAGAGGGGGACCGGCCCCCCUGAAACGGGACCCGGGUCCAGACUCUUACGGAAGGCAGAGGUGGGAAUUUUUCCGAAAUGGGCGAAAGCUGAACGAGGCAACGCCGGGUGGGUAAUAAGGGUCUUCGAUUCGAAAAACUCUGUUAUUGGGAAAAAACAAAUGUGUAAGUAACCAUGCAGGUUUUGAGGGAACCACAGAAGAAGGCCCGGCUAACUUCGGU
rnacentral:rRNA from 1 species